ensembl:lncRNA
CAAAGGGCUCUUAUACUUCAACAGAUACAGAGUGGUUGUAAAGUGACGCCCAGUGCUCUACGUGGUCACCCUUCUGAUCCCAAGCUCUUUCCUCAUGCUCAUUGACAUCCUGUCCUUCUACCUGCCUCCCCAUAGCGUCGACCGCGCCUCCUUCAAAAUGACCCUCAUCCUGGGCUACACAGUCUUCCUGCUCAUCAUACGACCUGCUGCCGAGUACGGCAAAUGGCACUCGCAUCAUAGGUAUCUAUUUCUCACUGUGUCUUGCCCUCAUGGUUAUCAGUCUACUGGAAACAGUCAUCAUUACCAACGUCCUCCACCAUAACUCCUUGAAAUAUCGGGAGGUUCCAAAGUGGGUUAGGGUUGUUGUGCUCAAACGUAUAGCAAACCUCAUCUGCUACCGCUGGCCA